AUUGCAGGCUGCAACUCGCCUGCAUGAAGUCGGAAUUGCUAGUAAUCGUAGGUCAGCAUACUACGGUGAAUACGUUCCCGGGCCUUGUACACACCGCCCGUCACACCAUGGGAGUCGGUAACACCCGAAGUCGGUAGCCUAACCGUAAGGAGGGCGCCGCCGAAGGUGGGAUUGAUGACUGGGGUGAAGUCGUAACAAGGUACC
rnacentral:rRNA from 1 species